rnacentral:rRNA from 1 species
CAGCCGCCGCGGUAAUACGAAGGGGGCUAGCGUUGCUCGGAAUUACUGGGCGUAAAGGGAGCGUAGGCGGAUCGUUUAGUCAGGGGUGAAAUCCCGGGGCUCAACCUCGGAACUGCCUUUGAUACUGGCGAUCUUGAGUAUGGGAGAGGUGUGUGGAACUCCGAGUGUAGAGGUGAAAUUCGUAGAUAUUCGGAAGAACACCAGUGGCGAAGGCGACACACUGGCCCAUUACUGACGCUGAGGCUCGAAAGCGUGGGGAGCAAACAGGAUUAGAUACCCCUGUAGUCCCUGUCUCUUAUAC